rnacentral:rRNA from 1 species
UNGGAAUUACUGGGCGUAAAGCGAGCGCNGACGGUUACUUAAGCAGGAUGUGAAAUCCCCGGGCUCAACCUGGGAACUGCGUUNUGAACUGGGUGACUAGAGUGUGUCAGAGGGAGGUAGAAUNCCACGUGUAGCAGUGAAAUGCGUAGAGAUGUGGAGGAAUACCGAUGGCGAAGGCAGCCUCCUGGGAUAACACUGACGUUCAUGCUCGAAAGCGUGGGUAGCAAACAGGAUUAGAUACCCUGGUAGUCCACGCCCUAAACGAUGUCAAUUAGCUGUUGGGCAACUUGAUUGCUUAGUAGCGUAGCUAACGCGUGAAAUUGACCGCCUGGGGAGUACGGUCGCAAGAUUAAAACUCAAAGGAAUUGACGGGGACCCGCACAAGCGGUGGAUGAUGUGGAUUAAUUCGAUGCAACGCGAAGAACCUUACCUGGUCUUGACAUGUACGGAAUCCUCCAGAGACGGAGGAGUGCCUUCGGGAGCCGUAACACAGGUGCUGCAUGGCUGUCGUCAGCUCGUGUCGUGAGAUGUUGGGUUAAGUCCCGCAACGAGCGCAACCCUUGUCAUUAGUUGCCAUCAUUUAGUUGGGCACUCUAAUGAGACUGCCGGUGACAAGCCGGAGGAAGGUGGGGAUGACGUCAAGUCCUCAUGGCCCUUAUGACCAGGGCUUCACACGUCAUACAAUGGUCGGUACAGAGGGUAGCCAAGCCGCGAGGUGGAGCCAAUCUCACAAAACCGAUCGUAGUCCGGAUUGCACUCUGCAACUCGA